GCACCUCGAGGAAUGAGCUCUCCAGAGUAAGGCUCACUUCUGGAGAGCCAGAAGUCACACCUUUACUGAGUUGAAUGUAAACAACAACAACAAAAAAAACUGGCUUGCAUCUGAGAUCAUCAGUAUUUAGAGGCCCUAUCGCAGAGCGCAGGUGAAGCAAGCACAAACUUUACUGGCCACCGCAGCUGAAAAGUACAUUUCUCAGCUGAACCCCUUCUGGUAAGGACCAAAUUCCUUAAACAUGGCCCACAAGUUCCUUCAUGACUGGAUCCUGUCAUCUUUUAUUUCCCAGAACCUAGUCUACAUUUCCCAACAGGUUCUCUCUCACAUCCUCUGUGUUCACGUCUUCACUGCUUUCCGGGUGAAAUGCUGCAUUGCUUCAUCUUCCUCCCACCCUCCACCUUACUCAUUCAUCCUUCUAUAAUCAACUCAAGGAGUGUUUAUGAAGACACCUGCUCUGGUACCACCUUCUCCUUCCUAGGUGGGGUUAGUGUUCCUGGCACAAGUGAUGUAGUGUAGUAAUAUCUCCCUCAUAGAGCUGCUGAGGGGAUUAAAUGAA